rnacentral:tRNA from 2 species
CGCGGUGGCCGAGUGGUUAAGGCGAUGGACCACAAAUCCAUUGGGGUUUCCCCGCACAGGUUCGAAUCCUGUCGACGCGC